rnacentral:rRNA from 1 species
CGCAUCUGUGCAUGCAGCAUAUCAAUAAGCGGAGGAAAAGAAACUAACAAGGAUUCCCCUAGUAACGGCGAGUGAAGCGGGAAGAGCUCAAAUUUGAAAUCUUAAAGGGUUUCCCUUUACGAAUUGUAGUUUAAAGAAGUGUUUUCUGUUGAGGUUUUGGUAAAAGUUCUUUGGAAUAGGACAUCAUAGAGGGUGAGAAUCCCGUAUUUGACCUAUUACUUUCAACUUUGUGAUACACUUUCAAAGAGUCGGAUUGUUUGGGAAUGCAGUCCAAAAUGGGCUGGUAAAUUUCAUCUAAAGCUAAAUAUUGGCGAGAGACCGAUAGCGAACAAGUACCGUGAGGGAAAGAUGAAAAGAACUUUGAAAAGAGAGUUAAACAGUACGUGAAAUUGUCAAAAGGGAAGCGUUUGACACCAGUGUUGUUUUUCUGAAAAUCAAUUAAAGAACUGUUUAUGCUAAGUUGUUUAGACUUUAUCAGCUAACUGUUUAGUUUUGAGCAUUUUCUUUAAUGCACUUUUCAGUUAACAAGUCAACAUCAAUUUCUUUUGCUGUAAAAAAGGCUUGAGGAAGGUGGCUUGAGAUUCGUCUUAAGUGUUUAUAGCCUCUUGCCUAUGCAGUCGGAGAGAUUGAGGUCCUGCAGCGUAGAUCCUUCGGGGCUAAAUGCAUUUGUGCUAAGUUAUAGCAUUUUAUAGACAACUUGUUGACUAUGAUUUGUCUUGUAGCUUACUCGCUUAUGUUAUUUUACCUACGCUUAGGAUGUUGACAGCAGUAUAGACUGU